GAUGAAGAACGCAGCGAAAUGCGAUAAGUAAUGUGAAUUGCAGAAUUCAGUGAAUCAUCGAAUCUUUGAACGCACAUUGCGCCCCCUGGAAUUCCGGGGGGCAUGCCUGUUCGAGCGUCUCAGGGACAAACCCUCGCGCGGGUGUACGCGCGGUCGUGGCUGCGGUGGCGUGCCCGAGGCGGCGGCCACCGCGCUGGAAUCCAUGGGCGGACGCCUGCCGCGUGGCCGAGCGUGAUAUGACGCAGUGGCGCUCGCACGCGGAGAGGCUGCCAGCCCUGGCCCGUCUGUCGGGCGGGGGAGAGCAAGACACGUGAACUCCUCGAAUCAGGUAGGGAUACCCGCUGAACUUAAGCAUAUCAAUAAGCGGAGGA
rnacentral:misc_RNA from 1 species